UGCCAGCCGCCGCGGUAAUACGGAGGGGGUUAGCGUUGUUCGGAAUUACUGGGCGUAAAGCGUACGUAGGCGGAUUAAUAAGUUAGAGGUGAAAUCCCAGGGCUCAACCCUGGAACUGCCUCAUAAACUCCUGGUCUUGAGUUCGAGAGAGGUGAGUGGAAUUCCAAGUGUAGAGGUGAAAUUCGUAGAUAUUCGCAGGAACACCAGUGGCGAAGGCGGCUUACUGGUCCGAUACUGACGCUGAGGUGCGAAAGCGUGGGGAGCAAACAGGAUUAGAUA
rnacentral:rRNA from 1 species